rnacentral:rRNA from 1 species
CACUGGAAGAUUAAUGACUUUCAGCAAUGCCUGCCCAGUGCGAUCAAAAGUCGUAAACGGCCGCCCUAGCGUGAGGGUGCUAAGGUAGCGAAAUUCCUUGCCUUUUAAUUGUAGGCCUGCAUGAAUGGUUUGACGAGGGCUUAACUGUCUCUAGUUUGUAAGUCUAAAUUGGAUUAAAGGUGAAGAUACCUUUAUAAAAAAGUCAGACAAGAAGACCCCGUGCAACUUUUAAAGUCAACUUGUUUAGGAGUUUCAGAUUUUUAGGUGGGGCGCCUAUUAAGUAAUAUUAACCUUAGUGUACGAUAAAACUUUCAAGUAUAGACCCGACAAUGUCGAUCAUAGGAGAAGUUACGCCGGGGAUAACAGGCUAAUCCACUAGUAGAGAACGUAUUGGCUAGUGGGAUUGGCACCUCGAUGUUGAAUCAGGGAUGAUACCUCUAAGGCGUAGAAGCUUUGGAAGUGGGUCUGUUCGACCUUUAAUACCCUACG